AUGGUGGAUUCCGAGGGCCUCUCGGACCCCCGCUGCUGAGGCCAACUUCUUGCGCACCCAAAAGGGAAUCCUCCAGGUUUGCUAAGAUUACAUUGUGCCUGGUGAUCCUGAUCUACUUCAAGUGCCUCCACACCAGACUAUUCCUCCCUGUUGGUGGCUGAAAUGAUACUUGCUGCUACUUUGUCAGCUACGUGUGUGAUCUGCACACCAAAAUACCAUUCAUCAAUUGGCCCUGGAGUCAUUUCUUCCAAACCCUCUUAGCAGUGAUCCUCUACCUAAUCACCUCCAUUAUCGACAAUGUUGAGAAAGAAAACCACUCCAAAAUCAUCGCAGGGGUACUGGGCCUAAUUGCUAAGGGCCUCUUUGGCUUUAAUGCCUACGUCAACCUUCCCCUUUCGGUAGCAAAGAUAUACAAGAUAUACAGCAGCCCCCACUGGCCCCACAGAUGGCCCAGUGUAG
rnacentral:lncRNA from 1 species